UACGUAGGGGGCUAGCGUUGUCCGGAAUCAUUGGGCGUAAAGCGCGUGUAGGCGGUCCGGUAAGUCUGCUGUGAAAGUCGGGGGCUCAACCCUCGAAUGCCGGUGGAUACUGUCGGGCUAGAGUGCGGAAGAGGCGAGUGGAAUUCCUGGUGUAGCGGUGAAAUGCGCAGAUAUCAGGAGGAACACCGGUGGCGAAGGCGGAUCUCUGGGCCGAUACUGACGCUGAGGAGCGAAAAGCGUGGGGGAGCGAACAGG
rnacentral:rRNA from 1 species